UUUGCAAUCAAGAAUCAAGUGGCCAAUUUGAUCAAAACAACAAAGCAAUCUUGAAAUUAAGCACAAUUGCAUGAAUAUUGAAUAAAUCAAAAUCAAACACUUUAUGUUCAGAUCUCACAACCUUUUAAACAACCUUAGUUUCAACCAAUCCUCAACUAGAAUAAAAGGUUUCAGCCACUCAUGGCUGAACCAAAACAGAAAAUAAAAGAAAAGAAGAAAGAAGAUGAAGAACUAAGGUGGAGAAGGGGCUGCCCUUGCUUGGCCGAAUUUG
rnacentral:lncRNA from 1 species